rnacentral:misc_RNA from 1 species
GAUGAAGAACGCAGCGAAAUGCGAUAAGUAAUGUGAAUUGCAGAAUUCAGUGAAUCAUCGAAUCUUUGAACGCGCAUUGCGCCGGCCAGCAUUCUGGCGGGCAUGCCUGUUCGAGCGUCAUUUCAACCCUCGAGCCCCCCCGGGGGCCUCGGUGUUGGGGGACGGCACACCAGCCGCCCCCGAAAUGCAGUGGCGACCCCGCCGCAGCCUCCCCUGCGUAGUAGCACACACCUCGCACCGGAGCGCGGAGGCGGUCACGCCGUAAAACGCCCAACUUUCUUAGAGUUGACCUCGGAUCAGGUAGGAAUACCCGCUGAACUUAAGCAUAUCAAUAAGCGGAGGA